UUACAGUAUACACAUCAUCAUCAUAUGGCAAUGGCCUCGUGUAUGUGGCAACAGCACCAGCUCCAGCUCGACGCCUUUUACUCGCUCACGUAACUGGUAUUUCAGCAAACAUUCCAUUAAACGAGCGACGCAUAGACGACUAUUUUAUCAGUCGUCAGACAUGCGUCGUUGGCAUGCACUACGUCUAGGAGUCUACAUCGACCUUAUCAUUGCAACGUGACAGUGUUGAGGUGUAAAAUUCAAGUAGCAUAAUGUCGUGGAGGCGUAGGAAUGACGGCCUCUUGGCUCGGGUCAAUUUCCCGCCGUACAGUUUAGAAAUGCUUACCAGCAGGCACGUCCUUGUCGGCGGUGGUGGUGGAUCGUCCAGGACUGGAGUAGCAAAUGGAUUCGAAAUAUUUGAACUCUCGCAUGAUGGAACACAAUUUGUAGCAGAAGAAGUAACUCGAUACGAGACAGGGCCUAACGUUGUUAUGAACACUGCAAUGCAUAACAAUGGUAAGCGAAUAUGGCUCGUUGCUGGUCAAGAGAGUCAUUGCCAGUUGUACAAUAUACAAGCAAAAGUGGUGGCAGUAGAAAAUGGAGAAAUUCUAAAAAGAGCUGCUGGUUUUCCUAUCAGAGAUGAACUUAAACAAAGAAGAAAAAGUAUCAGGAAAGACGAUGUAUCUCAGAAAAGAGAUGGUAUUGAGGAAAUCAAGAACGAGCCAAAGUCUAAGCAUAAAAAGUUACAACUUAUUAUUAAACCUUCUGAUAGCAUACAAACUGAUUUUGGAUCCGCACAACCUGUACAAAGGGUAGUAAGGAUUAAUCACAAUGGUAAACUGAUGGCUACAGGUGGCACAGAUGGACACGUACGCUUAUGGAAAUUCCCAGAGAUGAUAAAGCUACACGAUUUAAAGGGUCACAACAAGGAAAUUGACGACAUAGACUUUAGCCCAAAAAAUAAACUCCUUGCCACUGUAUCCAAGGAUGCCAAAUUGCUUAUCUGGCAUGUUGACAGUGGUUCCAAAUUGAAAGAUCUCACGUGGUUACGUUCAGAUGGUGAAAAAUCCGUGUACAAACGUUGCCGUUUCCGUAAAACCGUCGAAGAUAGUCCACGAGAUAGUCCUCAACAUCUCUUCACCAUUUCAAAUUCUUUGCCCUCGAGGGAACGUAAGAAGGUUCAUUAUGGUUUCCUACAACUGUGGAAUGUCGAUACUGGAAGUGUCGAACGACUGGCGACUUACAACGAAAAUUUGUCCGAGCUCGCGGUAUCCGAUGACGGCAAAUUCGUUGCCGUUGGCACAAUGUCCUCUGGCACCGUCGACUUAUUCAUAGGAUUUAGUCUGCAGAAGAUUCUACAUGUGCCCAACGCGCACAACAUGUUUAUUACGAGUCUCGAGUUCCUUCCGAUACAUCACGACGGACCUGCUAUUACGAGUAACGCCGAGACUGCUGUUAUUAGUUGCUCCGUUGACAAUAAAAUCUGCAUUCAUAGCGUUCCAUUCAGACACUCGUUGCCGUUUUGGCUGUUCCUGAUCUUUAUAGUUUUAAGCAUUUGCGGUGCAUUUAUAAUUUGCAGUUACUUGGGCAUUUGACCAGAGGCUGCUCCAAAAGCAACAUUUGUAAAUUUCGAAUGACACGCGUACAGAGAUAGUUUGUAUUGUUCUUAUUCUUUCCGCUGUACAAUAGCGUUUAUUGUUGUGGACUCAAAUGUGGUGUUUGUUGAAUUAAACUAAUGAUAUUGUUUAAGUAGGUGAUAAAAAAAAUGUCUCAAGUGCAUUAAAUUAUUGUAUACUUGUUCGUUCUGUAAUUUAUAUGUGUUUAAACAAUUUUUGUUGUAUUUUUUCUGUCUAUCUUGCUCAUCUAGUGUAUUGGUAAUUGUAAGCACUUUUUCUUUAUUUAAGACUAGCUUUUAAGUUUUAAUAUGGAGAGAGGAAGAGACCGAGAGAGAGAGACAGAGAGAGAGAGAGAGAGAAACAGAGACAGAGAGACAGACAGACAGACAGACAGACAGAUAGAUACAGAGAAAGAAGAGAAAUGCAACAGAACUUUAUUAAAAAAAAUAGAUAAUUAAUUACACACUGCAAAAUCUACAAAUCUUGUAAUUUUCAUGACCUUCACUUUGCAUUCCUUCUUAUCGAAGCAUAUAAGCAUAUAUUCGACAACGAGAACAUUGUUAUGUAAUCAUCAAUUUACAUAUUCCGUGUGCAAUUAUUUAUAUACUGUAUCGUCGAAUCGAUCGUUUAGAAAGGAACGGGCAUCAGAUAAUUUUCGAGAACCUUGCAGAUGGCUCUUAACAUCAUCUUUCAGAUAAGAAUAGCAAAAUCUAGAGAACGUUCGGCCGUCGUCAGCUGGCAUGACAUUGUGCUCGUGAUUAUCCUUAGUCAUGUUGAAUUAAUAACACGGAAGAGUAGGACAAGAUACGCGCGACCAAUUCUUAUCAUUCGACGAAUAAUUCCUGGUAAACUCUACAGAACAUACAUCCUUCCACUAUGAUUCGCACGUCAGUAUUGUCGCGAAUGUUGUGUGAGAUGGUCAAACACUAUGCUACUGAAAUUAGAGGCAUCAGCCAGUCGUCUAAUUUUUUGUUUCGACAGUUUUUCGAUCCUGCCUCGAGUACGUACACUUACCUUCUGGCCGACGCGGACAGCAGGGAAUCGGUGCUGAUCGAUCCCGUGAUCGAGUGGGCAGAGCGAGACUCCACAGUGAUUAAAGAGCUGGGCCUCAGUCUCAAGUACGCCGGUAAGAUGCCUUUACGUCGCAAUGGCCUCUCCACUAUCGGCGCUUGGUGAACUAAAACGAUUGCCCGAAAGUGAACACGCACAUGCACGCGGACCACGUGACGGGCAGCGGCAAGCUGAAGAGCCUGCUGCCCGGUUGCCAGUCCGUGAUAUCAAGAGGCAGCGGGGCUCGAGCGGACCUGCUGAUAGACGGGCACGACGAGCUGACAUUCGG